GGGUUUAAGCCAUGGGAUGCUCACAAUAGAUGGAACAGUGCUGUGAUUUUAUGUUCAAACUGUUACAGUUUCAGCCUUCUGGAGCUUCAGUAAGAAAACAGGCAUGAACCCAUGGCUGUAAUUCAUGUGAAAUAUUUGCACACAUAAAAACAAGACCAUGAAACAGGAAAAGAAUAUGGAAUUUGACUAACAGGUCACAGUGAUCUGCAGGCUGCAGGCAAGAAGAUCAGUCCAGACUUCUCUAUUCCUGUGACAGAUUCCAGCUCCUCCUAUGGGAGGCCCACGCAUUCCCAGGCCAGCUGUGAGAUAUAAUCAGUCCAGCAGGUCCUGGUCUCCUUCUGGGUUUCCUUCCAAUGGGAUGUGCCUGGAACAGCUGUAGUGGGAGCCAACCAGGGGGAAUCAUGAGAUGCCCAAACGUCUUCAGUCAUCACA